UUGUGACUGCCUGGGAGGGUGGGAGCAGUGGCUGGCAGAACUUUGUCUUCUCCUGGUGAGUGGGAGCUUGGAGACUCCACCUUCCAAAAUUGGCGCCGCUCUCUCCGGAGUUGGAAUCGAAGAUCUGGGUCACCCUCCGUGGACCUAUGGAUUUGCGGCACACCCCCUCCCUCCCUGCUCUUCAGGAAAAAAAAGGUAGGUUCCUAGAAAUACAAUGUUUUCCUUUGGUGGAGUAGCAGAGGCCAACCACUGGAAUCCACAUUCACUGGACUAAUAAUCUCAGGCCUUUCAACUGAGCAAUCAAAGUGUUCUCCAGUCAGAGUUUGCCAGGGGCCAGUUGCUUCUAGGAGGCGCAGGUAAUUAAUAUUGUUUGACCCUUCCUCCCUGCACCUUCAGAAGGGAAGUGAGCGAGAGCUGUAAUAAUCACCAUUUUAAGCGUGGAGUCACUUGCCGUUUUCUCUUUCUGGGCAAGAAAAUCUCUCUGAUGUCAGCAAGACUAAAGAAAAGGAAGGAGAGUAGAACACAGUGCUCUGACUAGUACCCUGAGCAUCCUUUAAGUGUGGGAAAGGCUCUCCAUUGCUUCAGACAAGCGAGAGGAACUUCGAGGCAGAAAAAGCUUUCAGUGCUUAGGAGGAAGACCCGGGCCUCGAAGAUUGCCUGGGGAGCGCCGGAAGUUUAUUUAACAUUCAGCCUGAGGAUUAAGUGUGAAAUCCAAGUGGAGGAAAAGAAAUCCUUGCUUAAGCCAACGGAGAGGCUAAGAUUUCACGUCAGGCCCCUUUAGGCCUUGAUGUGUGUCCUGGGAGCACUCGGAGCCAGAGGUGGGUCCAGUGGGGUUUUAUCUUGUCCAGCCGGCCCUCAGAGACUCCCCCCGUCAGGGGGUCAGGAAGUUCUGGUUGCAGGCUCGCUAUGAGGAGAAAAAGUGAGAUCCCACUUUGGACCAUGGGCCCAGAAGAAGUGCUAAUGCCAGUGCCAGUGUCCUGCCUGGAGCCCAGAAGCAAUGAAAAUGCUCUCACCCCUCAACGGGGAGAAUCCAGCAUCCACGUGUCUCCCUACACAACCAACAAGGAGCAACCUAUCACAACAGCUGUCCUACCAAAGCUCACAUUACAUUCCGGUGUCAUUCUUCAGCUCACAGGAGCGGUUUCUGAGACCCGACGUAUGUUUCAUCACCUCCUAAAGAGAAGGCGGGAAUCUCUGGAGGUAUUUCAAAACACUGCCGGAAACAUUACAGCCACUAUGGCAGACAACCGAAUCAGCUAA
rnacentral:lncRNA from 1 species